CAAAAUAUUAAAAGCUGUUUCAUUUUUGUUUUUCAAAAUACGUUUUCUGUUUUUAUUGUAAAAUAGAGAUUUAGAAUCUAAAUUCAGUGGGAAUAUUGAGAUGACACCGGAACAAAGAGAAAUUAUACGUGUAAACGAACCCGCACUUGUAUCAGAUAUAAUACCAACAGAUAUACUAAGUUGGUUGGUGUGCUUGACAAGCGAUGAUAAGGAAGUAAUUACGGCAGACGAGAGAAAUAUCGGCCCGACAAAAGCUGCAAGGACUUUAUUGGAUCGUUUAAAAAGACGGCCUGAUGCAUUUGGACAACUAGUUUGUGCUUUAAGAGAAAAAUAUGUUAGGACAUUUGGCAGAACUGCUGGACCCAAAUAAUGAAG